GAUGAACGCUGGCGGCGUGCUUAACACAUGCAAGUCGAACGGAAAGGCUCCUGCUUGCAGGGGUACUCGAGUGGCGAACGGGUGAGUAACACGUGGGUGAUCUGCCCUGCACUUCGGGAUAAGCCUGGAAAACUGGGUCUAAUACCGGAUAGGACCACAUUUUGGAUGGUGUGGUGGAAAGUUUUUCGGUGUGGGAUGAGCUCGCGGCCUAUCAGCUUGUUGGUGGGGUAAUGGCCUACCAAGGCGUCGACGGGUAGCCGGCCUGAGAGGGUGUACGGCCACAUUGGGACUGAGAUACGGCCCAGACUCCUACGGGAGGCAGCAGUGGGGAAUAUUGCACAAUGGGCGCAAGCCUGAUGCAGCGACGCCGCGUGGGGGAUGACGGCCUUCGGGUUGUAAACUCCUUUCGCUAGGGACGAAGCGCAAGUGACGGUACCUGGAGAAGAAGCACCGGCUAACUACGUG
rnacentral:rRNA from 1 species